rnacentral:lncRNA from 1 species
CUGAAGUGCUUUUUCUCCCACAAGUUAGAAUGUUAUACAAAUUUCAUCUCUCUCUACCAGGUUUUCAGGGCAUCUUCUUUGUCCUAUGCUAAAUAGGAGUAGUUUUUUACAGUACAAAGAUAAGAAGUUGGAUGUAUGCUUGUUUUAUAAAGCAAGAGUUCUUCAUCCAAUUCCAGAGGGCAAAAUGAUGAAAAGGCCAGCUUCCAAGAGCUACCUGCAGCCAGAGUCCACAAAGCACAUCCCAUGUGGGGAGCUAUGGUCACGGUGAGCUGGCAGAGCUGUGCUUUGGGGAAGGGCUUGCUGACACUCCUUGGUACACAAGGCAACAAGGAAGAGACAACAGCUAUCAGGACCAGGCUUCAUCACUCUGGUUCUGAAACAAUCUUCAGCAGCAUUUCAUAGACAAAUGGCCUUGUCAGUUUGUAUUUAAGGAAACCAUGUGGCAGGUUCAUAUAAAUAGGUAGAACAGUUUCAAGCAAUAAGGAUUUCCUUCAUCCGCCACUUAGAUGUUGCAAAGACUGAUCUGAAGGUCAUGGAAAGGAAGAGGAUGCAAUUUAGUUGUAAAGAGACCACAGAAAGAUAAAAGCUCAGACUGAAAAUUCAGACUGAGAUUUUGUUUGCCUGCUAGAUGAAUGUGAAGCCAGUCGCACUUAGUGUUUCAUGUAAAUGCUGUUCAUGAUUUUCAAUGUUCAGUCUCUGAAAUGAAAUUAAAAGGAAGAACAUAUUAUUAAAAUUUGAAUGGUUAAAAUUAUUACAUUAUUGAAAUCAUUUGUAACUGGAAAAGGAAAAAAAUAUCAAUGACAGAAGAAAAAUAGAUAAAUAGAUAAAUAAAUAAAUAAAUAAAUGAUAUAAUGAAAAUAGA